UAUUGCACAAUGGGCGAAAGCCUGAUGCAGCAACGCCGCGUGAGGGAUGACGGCCUUCGGGUUGUAAACCUCUUUUAGUAGGGAAGAAGGGCUUCGGCUUGACGGUACCUGCAGAAAAAGCACCGGCUAACUACGUGCCAGCAGCCGCGGUAAUACGUAGGGUGCGAGCGUUGUCCGGAAUUAUUGGGCGUAAAGAGCUCGUAGGCGGUUUGUCACGUCUGCUGUGAAAUCCCGAGGCUCAACCUCGGGCCUGCAGUGGGUACGGGCAGACUGGAGUGCGGUAGGGGAGAUUGGAAUUCCUGGUGUAGCGGUGGAAUGCGCAGAUAUCAGGAGGAACACCGAUGGCGAAGGCAGAUCUCUGGGCCGUAACUGACGCUGAGGAGCGAAAGCGUGGGGAGCGAACAGG
rnacentral:rRNA from 1 species